rnacentral:rRNA from 1 species
AGUGAACGCUGGCGGUAGGCCUAACACAUGCAAGUCGAACGGCCGCACAGUAAGAGCUUGCUCUUACGGGUGGCGAGUGGCGGACGGGUGAGGAAUACAUCGGAAUCUACUUUUUCGUGGGGGAUAACGUAGGGAAACUUACGCUAAUACCGCAUACGACCUACGGGUGAAAGCAGGGGAUCUUCGGACCUUGCGCGAUUGAAUGAGCCGAUGUCGGAUUAGCUAGUUGGCGGGGUAAAGGCCCACCAAGGCGACGAUCCGUAGCUGGUCUGAGAGGAUGAUCAGCCACACUGGAACUGAGACACGGUCCAGACUCCUACGGGAGGCAGCAGUGGGGAAUAUUGGACAAUGGGCGCAAGCCUGAUCCAGCCAUGCCGCGUGAGUGAAGAAGGCCUUCGGAUUGUAAAGCCCUUUUAUUAGGGAAGAAAAGCAGCGGAUUAAUCCCCCGCUGUUCUGACGGUACCCAAAGAGUAAGCACCGGCUAACUUCGUG